UCUCAUCUGAGGCAGCUGCUCACUUCCUCCAUCCCCAGGUUGCAAGACUUAUCCAAGUUUCAGCCAUCUGGGGGGAACAUCGUGCUUAUAGUUUUGGUUCAGCUUCCUGGUGGUCAAGGAGGUGACCAGGAGGUGACCAAGAGGAGGGAAGUAUCCUGGGGAAGGGAGAACAACUUUCACUGGAGAAAGGAUGAAGAGAAACCUAUCUCCAAAAUUUACAUGAAGAUGUCCUAAGAUUAGGAUCUUAGAGCAGAAAAACUACUUGGGACUGAUUUAAAAAUGCCGUGUGACAUUGCUUCCACCAAUUAGCCAGAGAAACACGAGAAAAGCAUGUGAAAAGGCCCUGAAGCAGAAAAGAGUAUUCUUUGAGAAACAAAAAUUUUCAUGAUUGAUGCAUAGAGAUGGAUCCAGAAGAGAAGUAAUGAUGAGCUUGGAGAGGAAAGCUAGUCUGUGUAGGCCAUUUGAAAUGUAUUUUGGAACUUGUCCUAGAGAAUGAUGUUUAGAACCGGAAGUAAAAAUAUGUGACACUGAAUUACCAAAUAUGGCUCUAGAAGUCAUGAAGGCUAUAAGGAGAAACUUGGACUUCAACCUGGAGGAGAAUGGAACCUUUGUAGGCUUUGCUAUAGAUGCUGUUCUAGGGAUCACACGCACCCUGAGGAGCAGUGGCAACAGUGGUCCCGCCCAGCUCUUUCCCUGGGAAAUAUCCUCAGCAUCUUAUCAUCAAGCUGCCAUAGCUUUCAAUUGUGUCUGUCACUCAAGUGUGUAGGUAGAGAAGGAUGCCAGAACUCACAGAAAUACAUCACUACUUCAAUUUCUUAAUAAUGGACAGAACUCUUAAUGCCAAAAAUACUUCGGACUGGCUGACAAGGCAUUAGCAUUGAUUUUCUGGCUUUCCCUGUCAGUCUUCUUCCUUGUAAGUGGUUUCUUUCCCUCUCAACUCCAGACCAUGAGGUGUCCUUAUUAUCUACUUAGGCUGACUCCAGAAGUGCUACUUUUCAGUGUCACAGAGAGCAUGACAUCAUCACAGGGGGGCAGGGUAUAUAUUAACAAACCAUGAUGAUACCAUCAUGAUAUAUGAUAUAUAUCAUAUAUCGAUCAGUCAUUAUCGGUGGCACCUGCCCAGGACUUAUUUCUGCAAAACAUCUAUGCUCAGUCCUCAUAAAUGUUGAGACACAUUCCAUAGACCAUGUAGCAAUUUUUUAAAAUAUGAAGAAUGAUUAAGGAUGAAAUAGUUAUCAUAUGAUGUAAUAAAAAUCAGAAUUCAAAAGUUCAUCGACAAUACAAUUUCAACUCUAAAAAUGUAUAUAGAUGUAUAUUUAUAUUGUGCUUAAAAAGCACAAAAAAAACUGGAAGAAAUAACAC